rnacentral:rRNA from 1 species
AUUGAACGCUGGCGGCAUGCUUUACACAUGCAAGUCGAACGGUAACAGGCCGCAAGGUGCUGACGAGUGGCGAACGGGUGCGUAAUGCAUCGGAACGUGCCCAGUCGUGGGGGAUAACUACUCGCAAGAGUAGCUAAUACCGCAUACGAUCUAUGGAUGAAAGCGGGGGACCGUAAGGCCUCGCGCGAUUGGAGCGGCCGAUGUCAGAUUAGGUAGUUGGUGGGGUAAAGGCUUACCAAGCCAACGAUCUGUAGCUGGUCUGAGAGGACGACCAGCCACACUGGAACUGAGACACGGCCCAGACUCCUACGGGAGGCAGCAGUGGGGAAUUUUGGACAAUGGGCGCAAGCCUGAUCCAGCAAUGCCGCGUGCAGGAAGAAGGCCUUCGGGUUGUAAACUGCUUUUGUACGGAACGAAACGGCUCUGGUUAAUACCCGGGGCUAAUGACGGUACCGUAAGAAUAAGCACCGGCUAACUACGUG